rnacentral:rRNA from 1 species
GACGAACGCUGGCGGCGUGCUUAACACAUGCAAGUCGUACGGUAAGGCCCUUUCGGGGGUACACGAGUGGCGAACGGGUGAGUAACACGUGAGUAACCUGCCCACAACUUUGGGAUAACGCUAGGAAACUGGUGCUAAUACUGGAGAUGUGCUCCUGCUGCAGGGUGGGGGUUGGAAAGCUCCGGCGGUUGUGGAUGGACUCGCGGCCUAUCAGCUUGUUGGUGGGGUAGUGGCCUACCCAGGCGGCGACGGGUAGCCGGCCUGAGAGGGUGACCGGCCACAUUGGGCCUGAGAUACGGCCCAGACUCCUACGGGAGGCAGCAGUGGGGAAUAUUGCACAAUGGGCGCAAGCCUGAUGCAGCAACGCCGCGUGCGGGAUGACGGCCUUCGGGUUGUAAACCGCUUUCAGCAGGGACGAAGCUUUUUGUGACGGUACCUGCAGAAGAAGCACCGGCUAACUACGUG